rnacentral:tRNA from 1 species
GCGGGUAUAGACUAAUGGCUAAGUUUGUUGCCUUCCAAGCAAUAGAUAUGGGUUCGAAUCCUAUUACCCGCA